rnacentral:rRNA from 1 species
UUACCAGGGUUUCCCCUUGUAACUGCGAGUGAAGCGGGAAAAGCUCAAAUUUAAAAUCUGACGGUCUUUGACUGUUUGAGUUGUAACCUAGAGAAGUGCUGCCCGUGCUGGACCAUGUAUAAGUCUCCUGGAAUGGAGUGUCACAGAGGGUGAGAAUCCCGUCUUUGACAUGGACUUGCCAGUGCAUUGUGGUGUGCUCUCAAAGAGUCGAGUUGUUUGGGAAUGCAGCUCUAAAUGGGUGGUAAAUUCCAUCUAAGGCUAAAUAUUGGCAAGAGACCGAUAGUGAACAAGUACCGUGAGGGAAAGAUGAAAAGAACUUUGGAAAGAGAGUUAAAAAGUACGUGAAAUUGUUGAAAGGGAAACAUUUGAAGUCAGUUGUGUUGGCUAGGGAUCAACCUGGCAUUUCUGCUUGGGUGUAUUUCCUGGUCAACAGGCCAACAUCAGUUUUGACCACUAGAGAAGAACCAUGGAAAUGUGGCACCUCUGGGUGUGUUAUAGACCAUGGUUGUAUGUAGUGGUUGGGACUGAGGCAAUGCAGCACACCACAAGGCUGGGUUUUGCCACAUUUGUGCUGAGGAUGUUGGCAUAAUGGCUUUAAGUGACCCGUCUUGAAACACGGACCAAGGAGUCUAACAUGCCUGCAAGUGUUUGGGUGGAAAACCCAUGUGCGCAAUGAAAGUGAAAGUUGAGAUCCCUGUCAUGGGGAGCAUUGACGCCCAGACCAGAACUUUUGGGACGGAUCUGCGGUAGAGCAUGCAUGUUGGGACCCGAAAGAUGGUGAACUAUGCCUGAAUAGGGUGAAGCCAGAGGAAACUCUGGUGGAGGCUCGUAGCGAUUCUGACGUGCAAAUCGAUCGUCGAAUUUGGGUAUAGGGG